CUCAAUAAUGGAUUUCAAUGUGAAAUUGCAGGAGACCAGAAGGGGUGAAAAUCACAGAAUGCCAGAGGUUGGAAGGGAUCUGGAAAGCUCAUCCAGUCCAGCUGCCCUGCAGAGCAGGAUCACCUAUACCAGAUCACGCAGCAAUGUGUCCAGCUGGUGAACCUUCAUGAAUCCUCUGUGGAGCACAAUAGAGCUGCACAGACAAGGGUAUUGUCAGUGAAGUGAUGAUUAUCAGAAGGACCAGGAGGAGUCAAGCUGGUUUCUAUUCCAGAAGUGGUUUGUAAAGAGUUCAGGGGAAAGCCUGCAGAUAUGAUCUUCUGGACACAAGGAGGACUCCCAGAGAGGUCUACAGUUCUUCAUUUGAUGUGGAGUACUUACAUGAAAAGUCAAUCUUUAUUUUGAUACUGACUUGCAAAAAUAACUUGAGUGCCACUUCCUGAGGAAGUGUAGAUACACAUAGCACUGUUGGUAAGGCUUCACAUAC